UACGGAGGGAGCAAGCGUUAUUCGGAAUCACUGGGCGUAAAGGACGCGUAGGCGGGUUUGUAAGUCAGGUGUGAAAUCCUACAGCUCAACUGUAGAACUGCACUUGAAACUACAGACCUAGAGUAUGGAAGGGGCAGAUGGAAUUAGUGGUGUAGGGGUAAAAUCCGUAGAUAUCACUAGGAAUACCGAAAGCGAAGGCGAUCUGCUGGGACAUUACUGACGCUGAGGCGUGAAAGCGUGGGGAGCAAACAGGAUUAGAUACCCUAGUAGUCC
rnacentral:rRNA from 1 species